rnacentral:rRNA from 1 species
GACGAACGCUGGCGGCGUGCUUAACACAUGCAAGUCGAACGGAAAGGCCCUGCUUUUGUGGGGUGCUCGAGUGGCGAACGGGUGAGUAACACGUGAGUAACCUGCCCUUGACUUUGGGAUAACUUCAGGAAACUGGGGCUAAUACCGGAUAGGAGCUCCUGCUGCAUGGUGGGGGUUGGAAAGUUUCGGCGGUUGGGGAUGGACUCGCGGCUUAUCAGCUUGUUGGUGGGGUAGUGGCUUACCAAGGCUUUGACGGGUAGCCGGCCUGAGAGGGUGACCGGCUACAUGGGGACUGAGAUACGGCCCAGACUCCUACGGGGGGCAGCAGUGGGGAAUAUUGCACAAUGGGCGGAAGCCUGAUGCAGCAACGCCGCGUGCGGGAUGACGGCCUUCUGGUUGUAAACCGCUUUCGCCUGUGACGAAGCGGGAGUGACGGUAAUGGGUAAAGAAGCACCGGCUAACUACGUG